AUGUUAAGGGAGAAUGGAAAGGCAUAUAACUUAAAAUAUCUUCAAGAAGUUUUUGUCAAAAAUGACAAACUCAAAAUAGUUUUGAUUAAAAAAAAAAAAAAAAAAAAAAAAAAAAAAAAAAAAAAACAAAUCCCAAAAUGAGUACUUUUCCCAAAGAAUUCAUAACGUCUUCGUUCGGAAGUGGGCCUGGAAAUAUACACGAAAAAAGACAUUCCAAAAGCAACUCCGAUUCCCUACAAACCCCAUCCAUACAAAUCUGUUAUUGAGUGAAAAUAAACAAAAGAAUCUCUGUCCGAAUGACACUCAAAUAGGUGGAAAGACAUUUUUUUAUUGGGCACCAUUUUCAUAUAAACGUGGAUAAUACCCUCAAAAUAUAUCAAAUAGGUCAAAUCUAUAAUCAGAGGGGUAAAAGUUAUAAGGAUCUCAACUGGCCGCAAGAUUACGGAGUUUAUAUUUGAAAAAAUAAAAAUCAUUUAAAAUUUCUAAACAUUUCAGAGAAUUUAGUUAAAAUUGCCAUGUUGGGCGCCAUUUUGGUAUAUGACAAAUAUUCCAUAUUUCCCAAACGAUUUAUGAUAAUUAAUAAAAUGCAUUAAGAAGCUUCCAAUUGGGCGCUAUCUACA